rnacentral:lncRNA from 1 species
AAAGUCAACUUAAUGUAAAAGUGUAGGGAAAGAGAAAGCAAACACAGAGUUUUUAUACUAGUUCAGCCUCAAUGCCUACAUCCAGUGUCCUUCUAGGAAGCCAAUGCACUAUAUUAGUCAAGGUUUUUACAACAAGAUUUCUAUAGAGACCUCCACGUAAAAAAUAUAGACAAUCUCUCUAACCCUUUAACUAAAAGUAUAGGCAAUCAACACAAAGAUAUGCAGCAAGAUAUCCUCUCUUCUACAAUCUUCAACCCACUUUGGACAAUCCUCAAAGUGUCAGAACUCCAUAAGUCCACCUCCUGUAAUCCCAACAGGACAACAACAAUCUUUCCAAAGAUUGAUAGAAAACUUGAUAAGUAUGAUGACACCAACUUUGCAAAUCUUGAUCAAAUAAUAUGCGCAAUACAAUUUCACCUUAAGAAAUUCUUCCAAGAAAUAUCUCCUCCGUCUUCUUGAUGAGUUCUUGGAGCCUUUACUCAGAGAUCACAAUCUGAAAAUCAAAUGAAAAUGUUAGAAUAUCCAAAGUCGUAUUGUGAUCAGCAGAGUCACGUCUAUUUAUAGUUUUCUAUAAACCAGACACUUUAUGUAGUCGACUUUGCUACUAAUGAAGUCGAAUGUCAUCAGACAGUUAUAACAAUUAAAUCAAUUAGCAGCAGUCAUAACAACCAAAUUGAUUUCGCAUUUAAUUCAGUUGACUUUCAUUUAAUGCUUUAGCAUAGAGUUGAAAUAUAGUUGUUACAACACACAAGCAUUAAUAGAAUUUCAAAUCAAAUAACUAACUAAGUCGAAUUCACUGCACAUGUAGUCGACUUAGACACUUCAAUUCAGUUUGAAAAUCUUUUCAAUGCAAAAUCGCACACAACAUUGCUUUUUAAAAUCUGUGCAAAGUCACAAGUUUUAAUCGACUUACUUCAUAAUGAAGUCGACUUAAAACUUGCAGUUUUGUCUCACAAUAUAAGUUCAUCAAAGUGCAUGUGGUUUUCUUUUCUCAAACAUAUGUCAUGCAAUCACAAAAGAUGUAUCAAGUAUCAAAUAAGUGAAUAUGCAUACAUAUAUCAGAAACAACACAAACAUGUUCAUUAAGAUAUCAUUCACAAUAAAGAAUGGAACAUGUAACACAUAACAAUACAUGUGUUAUUAAUAAUGUGUUGUCAUCAUAAAAAACCAGAGCACUGUGAGAUUAAGGUUCAACUAAACCAGUGCUUCCCUUAUCAAUAAUCUCAACAUCUUUGUUUUAACAGAUUAUUACACAUGCAUAAUCGAUUAUUUCAACAUUUAUGCCUAUAAAUGUUUAUUCUAAGAGUCUUAUAACCGAUUAGACUUCCUGUGUACAAAAAAUAAUCCCGGAUCAGAAUACACUUUUCAAGUGCCACUACAAAGAAUCUUGAAAUUAUCGACAGAUAUGUACCGACAGAUAUAUUCUCGUCGGUAAAUUUCACUUACCGAUAGAUUUUACCGACGAAAUUUAAAAUUUUUUUUUACUGACGUAUUUUACCUACGAAAUCAUUAUCGACGGAUUUUACUGACGGUUUAUUUCAUUGGUAAUGCAUUUUGCACUUGCGAAAGAAAAAAUUCAUCAUUAAUGCAUAUUGUAGUUACCGAUGAAAAAGUUUGUCGGUAAAUCCAUCAGUAAAUAAGACAUGCAUUACCCAUAAAAAAAUUCGACGAUAACAUGAAUGAAAUUUUUCUCACCUAUUUUUUCAUUUACCGAUGGAUUUUUCCGUCGAUAAAUCCAUUAGUAAAAUGUUAACUUACCGACGAAUUUUUUUGUUGGAAUUUAUCGAUAAAAUGAACAAGAAUUUUCUCACCCAUUUUCCUCUCUGUCUGUGUGCCAGUCUCAUUAUAUAUCUCCCUCUCUCACAUUUCUUCCUUAUUUGCACGAGGGCUUCUUAUAGUUCUCCAUCUUCCACUCCAUAUUUUUCUUCUCUUCCAUAGUUUAAAAACUCAAGCUAUCUGAUGACCUUAAUUGAUUAUCACCACAUUAUAAUCGAUUAAGUCAUACAUAUAUGUUUUUGUGCUUGUGGUUUUUCCAUUUUCAGAACAUUUAUUAUGCAUACACAAAUAUGAUCACUUUUCAAACAUAGUCGUAUGCAUCAAUUAACACAAUAUGUCCACAAAUAUGCAUAUGCAAAUUUCACAGUAAGCAUAAAAUAUAUAACACAGUACACAGUACAUACACAUGUGUUUUCAUUAACAAUGUUUUGUCAUAAAAAAACAAACAUUAGAGAGUGGGUUUCGCCAACACUAUGCUACCCUUAUCAAUAAUCUCUCCCGUUUUAGAUUAUGCACAACCAUGAUUAAUAAAAUCAUGUUGUACAGUCCACAAUCAAACACAUUUUCAAUUAUCUCAAUAACACAGUUCAAUUACUUCAAAUACAUCUCCCCCUUUGGGCAUUAGCAAAAAAGGCAUGUUUUACACUAUAAUUGAAACAGAGAUAAUGAAGUAAAUAGAGAUGCAUCAAUUAGUAUUACAGAAUUAUUUUGAUGCUCCCCUUGUCAAUAAUAUUCACAUGAUUUUAUUUUUUUCUCCCCCUUUAUAACAUGUGAACCAUCAUACAAUAACAUACAGUAUUCCCCUUAUCAUUAUGCAUAUUCAAAUAUCAAGUCACAGAUGCAUACCAAAGAUAUGUCAGAGUAUGUAUCAAGCAAUUAUGUUCAGAGAAUGUAUCAGAAAAUUUUACAAAUAUCAUAUCAGAGCAAUUUUGAUACAUUUUUGAAUCAACAAAAUCAAUUUAAUCACUCAUAGUCUCAUAUCAAAUUCACAGGGUAUUAAACAAUUAACCACAACAAAUAACAAUAUCCAUCAUAUCUACUUUUUAUUGGUGGUCUCUUGUUGCAACCGCAUAUCGUACAUACACACGCACACACACAUACACACGUACACGCACAUGCACACACUUAUAUAUAUAUAUAUAUAUAUAUAUAUAUAUAUAUAUAUAUAUAUAUAUAUAUAUAUAUAUAUUAUUCUUACAGUUAAAACAUACAACAUGCCUCUUCAUUUUCAAUUAGACCAUCAGCAGGAUAAGAAAAAACCAUUAAAUUUGUCAUGAAAUUAUUCCAAAGGAUGACAUUAAUAUAUAAGUUCCAUUUAUUAACAUCUUUAUUUCGAUUUUUUCCCAAACUAACUUUGGCUUACCAAGAGUUCAUUUUACUUUCUUACUCUUUUAAUGUGAAAGUUUUUAUGAAAAAAAUCAUCCAAAUAUUUCACUAAACUUCUUAAAAUAAAUGUUUUGUUCAAGUAGGUGAUGAUAUAUAUAACGAACUUUUAAUUAUAUUGAAGAUAAUUCGGCCAAGGGGCCUAGGGCUAUGGUGUGAACUAUCUACUAAUAGGUAUUUAAUUUUAGAUUUAAAUAAUAUCUUUGUACUUUCUAAAUUUGGAAACAAAAAUUCAACUUUGUCCAACUUUAAAACUGACUAAAUAUAAUUCUCUUAAUUCAAUAACAUUAAUUUUAUUUACCUAUUAAAUGACAUUUAAAACUGACAUUUGUGCUGCAAUGCAUGAAAUAAUGUAAAAAACUUAAAUUUUAACCUGAAACCUCAUUUAAUAAAUUAAUACAUUUAAGAUAACUAUAUUUAUUUAUUAUUAAAGUUUGAGAUAAAAAUGAAAUUCAAUUUCACCUCAAUUUAACUAUUAAUUUUCUAUUCUCAUGGCUAUCAUCCUUGAUAUAUAAGCAACUCCAAUGAAGAAUAGUUUAAAACAUAAGUUGGAUCUUAAUGUUAAUUUAAGGUAUAACAACCAGGAUACUAAAAACCAGACAGGUUCAAAAGAAUUAAAGAACGAAAUAAAAAACUUCAAAUUUUAUUUGUUAAUAUCUGAGAGAUAUACACGUGUAUAUAUCUUUAUUUGAUGGAAAGUAUUAUAAAUUAAUUCAAAGGGAGAAACUAUACUGCAAUUUGUUUAAGAAUGCAAAAAUUUGUGGUAUAUGAAAUUGUGGUGAAUAUAUAAUGGUCUUUAUAAACAACGUCUUUAAAUUUGUAGAGUUGGCAACUUUACUUUUGUUCAAUAGGUGAAUUUGAACAAUCUGAAAUAAACUUUUCUACUUUAAAUACUCAUGGGUAAACACAUCGAUACCGUAUUGUACUUUUCAAAUAUGUAGUGUAGAGAUGAAGUGUGGUUGGUCAGAUUUUAGGGUUAUAAUAUAAACCACAAUUCCAAAAACUCAUUAUUUUCAUGGUUUGCAUGGUAUUGGAUUCCGCUUUAACAUAAUCUACUUUCAGGGCUAAAGUUUUGAAGAAAAAUAUUUUAAAAUGAGCUAGGGGGGGCAACUUUUUGUUCGCAUGGAAUGAUGUAACCAUGGUGACAGAUAACAUGAAACUUUUCAAGUGUAUUAUGUUAUUUUCUUUGUAUUAUAAUUCCUAAACUGCACUAAUUAUUUAAUAGAACAGGGCUAAACAUAUGUAUGAAAUAUCUACAAUCCUCUCGUGUUUUGGUAAAAAAAAUGCGUAUAGACACCUGAUAUGAUCUAGUGCAUGUGCGUGACUUAAGAGUACGUAGUGACACUAUUCUAUUAAGCUUUAGUUUUGCCAAAGGAAACCAAAAACAUAGUCAUGCAUGCAUGUGUUAACAUGAUAAACACAGUUAGGUACGUAAAAUCUAGUUAACCCUAAUAGAAAAUUUCAUUAAAAUUAACACAUUAUUUAUUCUUGCCUCUAUUUAAACACUCCAACCCCCAUUAUUAAGUUAUCGGUAUUUCUCUUUCUCCCUCUUCCCCACCCCAUCUUUCUCUCUAUCACAAACAAAAAAAAAAUGGAUAAAAAACAGUGCAAUACGUCUCAAGAUCCUGAAGUGAGAAAAGGGCCAUGGACAAUGGAAGAAGAUUUGAUCUUGAUCAACUAUAUUUCGAACCAUGGGGAAGGUGUUUGGAACUCUUUGGCCAAAGCUGCUGGUAAGCAUAUUUUUUGUUCUUCAACUUUUAUUAUUCUUUCAGUAUUAUAUUUUUAUAUUUUUUUUCUUCUAUUAUUUUUUCUUUCAUACUUAAACCCAGGGUGGGAGAAAAUGAUUCAUGAUUAUGCAUGAUAUAACAGGUCUUAAACGUACUGGAAAGAGUUGCCGACUUAGGUGGCUAAACUAUCUCCGUCCUGAUGUUAGAAGAGGGAAUAUUACACCCGAGGAACAACUUUUGAUCAUGGAGCUUCACGCAAAGUGGGGAAACAGGUAAUUUUUUAACAUCUUUUCUUAAUUAAUAUCAUGAAUUUGACAAAGGAAACAAAGAUCUUUUAUUUAUUUCACAUAAAUUAUAUUUUACCCAGAAAUUAUAUAUUUUUUUCAACCAUUGUUUAUUUUCUAACCAUUAAAGAAGUUUUUUUCCUGUCUUUUAAGUUGUAGUAUUUGGUUUGGAGGCAAUCGAACUAGAAGGCCCAUGAGUACAAUAGUCUUGGAAGACUAUAUUUGAGGGGGAUCGAGGGAGUGUAGUCGGGGAGAAAACUCUAGCCAAGGGAAAGGUUUAAACAUAUGCGGGUUUGUAGAACUUUUUUCCACAAAUAUAUAUAUGUAUUUAUAUAUAUAUAUAUAUAUAUAUAUGUAUAUAUUUAUAUGUAUAUGUAUAUAUAUAUAUAUAUAUNNNNNNNNNNNNNNNNNNNNNNNNNNNNNNNNNNNNNNNNNNNNNNNNNNNNNNNNNNNNNNNNNNNNNNNNNNNNNNNNNNNNNNNNNNNNNNNNNNNNNNNNNAUAUAUAUAUAUAUAUAUAUAUAUAUAUAUAUAUAUAUAUAUAUAUAUAUAUAUAUAUAUCUUUGAUAAAACUGUAUUUAAUUGUUUUAGAGCCUUGAAAAUCAUUGUGUUCGAUUGCCUCCAAAUCCAAGAAUUGGACUGUUUUCCUUUGAAGGGUACAUAUUAUGCAUGAAUCCUUACUGUUGCAUUAAUGCCCGCCCUAGAUCUCUUUCUUUCCUAUAUAUGUAUGCAUAUCUCUGGCGGGAGAGAGGUCCUUUAGAUCUAACAAUAAUCACCACCAGUUAAUCAACGCCAGCGUUCUUCUUCUCCACAUGAUCUUCGAUUCUGUGCUUUUAUUUUAAUUUUUCAUGGAGUCUGUUAAUUGGAGGAAGGUUUUCAUGUUUUUGUCAAAUUGUAGCAUAAUGUUUUCAUUUCUAAUUAUUCGUGUAAAAGUUGCAGGUGAAUUAGCUGCGUGGAAGAUUCUUUAUAUUUAUUUUCGACUGAACAUAAAUCAUACUAUGAUCUUUUUUUAUUUUGAUCACAUAUAUAUAAAAUCUAAAGUAGAUGAUGAAUAAAAGUACCCAUUUUAAUUAUAAGAAAAGUCAUAUAUAUUGUGUUAAAAGCGCAUGAAUACGAGCUUUUAAAGGAAUUAAAAAGAGUAGAUGACGUAAGGGUUUUGGACAUAAGAUAGAAAAAUUGUUGAUGAUAGUAAAAUAUAUGAAGGUUGGAAAAGGGGGAUGAAUUGCAUAUGAAAAGAUGAGAAAAUCGGGUAUAAGUAGUAAAGUUAAAAGAGAUUACCUGAAAGAAGAAAGAUGGUAUUAGAAGUUGUUUCUGAAUAGUUAGUAGCAUUAAGUAUAUAUGUAAAGGUGUUUUAAUUUUGAAAAGCGGCAUAUAGUUUUACAAAUGACUAUUUCUACAAGGCUUAUGAGCGAGGACUAAAUAAGUUGGACAAGAGGACCUUCCACUUUGGGUUGAACUCAUGGAAGUGCGCAUAUCUUUAUAGCUUUCUAGUUCGGAUGAAAGAGAGUUUGAGUGAAAAUAGACCCAAACCAUACACUUUUGGCUCUUCUUAACAAGGGCAGGUGUCCUUGUAAAUUUUAGAGCCUCCCCUUGAAGAUAGACUUACAUAGUGCAUAUAUAAACUGAGGAUAUACUUACAUAGUGCAUAUAAUAACUAGUUAGCACCAUCCUUGCUUUCUCAGUAACGAAAUUGCCUCUCAACCAAGAAAAAAAAAAUGAUCAACCAACAAUAAAAGUGGAAAAGAAAAUAUUUAACCUAACAAAGUUUUCAAAUAUUACAUUUACUAUGUAUAAUAAAAAUGAAAAGUAUUAUUAACGAGGCGCGCAUUCAGACGUGCCUUUUUUUGAAAUAAGCAAGAUGAGUUUAUAGUAAAACAAGUUAAUGACGCAAAUUAUUAAAAGAAACGAAGGUGACGCGAUUAAGAGUUGCUAGAAAAUUUGUAUGCGUGCGUAUGUAUGUAUAUGUAUGAAGGGAUAUGGAUGGAAAAGAGAAUAGGAGACGUUUCGAUUGAACCAUACUCUCUCUAGUCUCUACCUGAGGCAUGCUUUGAGAAACCUGAUUUUCUGUUCUUAGAGAACCCUUGCUACAAAGCAAGGGAAUUAUCUUCAUACAGCAAAGGAAAUUUAGCAUCUUACGUACCUCAACACUGGUCGAUUUAUAAGUGUGAGUCCAAGAUAACGUCACAUUGAUUCUCAGCCAUGGAACAUGGCUUCCAUCAGACUCACAACCGUAUUUAAUAUAGGUGUUGCCACUUUUUAGUUAAUCAAUAAAAGCUGUGGCAGUCAUAUAUAUAGGCAGUUUUUAAUUACAUUUCUAUUAAUGCUUUAUAUUUCAAGCAAAUUAAACAAAUGUUUUAACUUACUCUCACUCAUUCAUGCACACUCGUGUACCCUCUUUUCCACAACGCAUUUCUACAACCGAGUAGCAUUCUAGGUUUUCCUUCUGCUUCUCCGCUUACUGUCAUGAAUACAACCAUACUUAUCAAAUUGUUUUGUAUAGAGUUUUCUUAACCAAGUGAUUAAAGGCAACAAAGUUUUUAUGUAAAAAGCAAACUCUUAUCCUGUUGUUUGGUGUAAUUAGAGUACAAACACACUGUUUACUCAUAUUAAAAUUUUUUACAGCCAAAAAAGCGUUAAAAAACCAGUAGGGUACUAUUCAGUUACAUGACACUGUCUUCUAGAAAUAAAUCAUUC